AGAGUUUGAUCAUGGCUCAGAUUGAACGCUGGCGGUAGGCUUAACACAUGCAAGUCGUGCGAGAAAGUACCUUCGGGUGCGAGUAGAGCGGCGGACGGGUGAGUAACGCGUAGGAAUCUACCUAGUAGAAGGGGAUAGCCCGGGGAAACUCGGAUUAAUACCGUAUACCUCCUUAGGGAGAAAGAGGGCUUAGCUUUGAUGCUCUCGCUAUUAGAUGAGCCUGCGUAAGAUUAGCUUGUUGGUGAGGUAAUGGCUCACCAAGGCGACGAUCUUUAGCUGGUCUGAGAGGACGAUCAGCCACAUUGGGACUGAGACACGGCCCAGACUCCUACGGGAGGCAGCAGUGGGGAAUAUUGGACAAUGGGCGCAAGCCUGAUCCAGCCAUACCGCGUGUGUGAAGAAGGCUUUCGGGUUGUAAAGCACUUUAAGUAAGGAGGAAAAGAUUGUAGUUAAUACCUGCAGUCCGUGACGUUACUUACAGAAUAAGGACCGGCUAAUUCCGUGCCAGCAGCCGCGGUAAUACGGAAGGUCCAAGCGUUAAUCGGAAUUACUGGGCGUAAAGCGCGCGUAGGUGGUUUUUUAAGUUGGAUGUGAAAGCCCUGGGCUCAACCUAGGAACUGCAUCCAAAACUAGAUGACUAGAGUACGAAAGAGGGAAGUAGAAUUCACAGUGUAGCGGUGGAAUGCGUAGAUAUUGUGAAGAAUACCAAUGGCGAAGGCAGCUUCCUGGUUCUGUACUGACACUGAGGUGCGAAAGCGUGGGUAGCGAACAGGAUUAGAUACCCUGGUAGUCCACGCC
rnacentral:rRNA from 1 species